AGGACCAUGGAUCAGCUAAUUACGGAGAUCCCGCUAAAAGAAAUCUGCACAGAUGCACAUGUUCAGAUUUCUGCUCUAAGGAACCCAUUGAAAGGAAAAUAUAAAGACAGCGGAAUACAGCGCUCUCUCGAUAUGUGGCAUGGAGCCAAGAAACUGUCCAAGAAAAUCCAUGCAGACCUGUGGAGAGGUGUUAUUCACCAUGUGGUGAAUGAACACACAUGGACACUGGGACAUUGUGAACAUGACUGCCUGUGGGACAAC